rnacentral:rRNA from 1 species
UGAACAUGAGAGUUUGAUCCUGGCUCAGAACGAACGCUGGCGGCAUGCUUAACACAUGCAAGUUGAACGCAGAAUAGGGCUUCGGCUCUAUUGCUGAGUAGCAAACGGGUGAGUAACGCGUGGGAAUCUGCCUUCUUGUGGGGGAUAACUAAGGGAAACUUUAGCUAAUACCGCAUACGCUCUACGGAGGAAAGGCUUCGGCCGCAAGAAGAGGAGCCCGCGUCAGAUUAGGUAGUUGGUAGGGUAAAAGCCUACCAAGCCAAUGAUCUGUAGCUGGUCUGAGAGGAUGAUCAGCCACACUGGGACUGAGACACGGCCCAGACUCCUACGGGAGGCAGCAG